AUGGAGGCGAGCACGACGAAGCUCCGGUCACUCCUGCUGACCUUCCUCCUCCUCAUCACCACCGCCAUCGCGUCGCCCACCCUCGCCUGCGACGAGUGCCGCAAGCCCCCCAAGGCCCCCAAGCCUUCCCACCCGCCCAAGGCCAAGGCCCCCGCCCACCCGCCGAAGAGCCGCGUACCUUGCCCGCCGGUCUACGGCCCGCCCCAUGGCCACCCGCCAGCGCCAGCGCCGCCGGCGACGCAGACGUGCCCGGUGGACACGCUGAAGCUCGGGGCGUGCGUGGACCUGCUGGGCGGGCUGGUGCAUAUCGGCCUGGGCGACCCGGUGGUGAACCAGUGCUGCCCGCUGCUGGAAGGGCUGGUGGAGCUGGAGGCGGCGGUGUGCCUCUGCACCACCAUCCGGCUGAAGCUCCUCAACAUCAACCUCGCCCUGCCCCUCGCCCUCCAGCUCCUCCUCACCUGCGGCAAGACCCCGCCACCCGGCUUCACCUGCUCCAUCUAG
rnacentral:rRNA from 1 species